GCUGGCGGCGUGCCUAAUACAUGCAAGUAGAACGCUGAAGAGAGGAGCUUGCUCUUCUUGGAUGAGUUGCGAACGGGUGAGUAACGCGUAGGUAACCUGCCUUGUAGCGGGGGAUAACUAUUGGAAACGAUAGCUAAUACCGCAUAACAAUGGAUGACACAUGUCAUUUAUUUGAAAGGGGCAAUUGCUCCACUACAAGAUGGACCUGCGUUGUAUUAGCUAGUAGGUGAGGUAAUGGCUCACCUAGGCGACGAUACAUAGCCGACCUGAGAGGGUGAUCGGCCACACUGGGACUGAGACACGGCCCAGACUCCUACGGGAGGCAGCAGUAGGGAAUCUUCGGCAAUGGGGGCAACCCUGACCGAGCAACGCCGCGUGAGUGAAGAAGGUUUUCGGAUCGUAAAGCUCUGUUGUAAGUCAAGAACGGGUGUGAGAGUGGAAAGUUCACACUGUGACGGUAGCUUACCAGAAAGGGACGGCUAACUACGUGCCAGCAGCCGCGGUAAUACGUAGGUCCCGAGCGUUGUCCGGAUUUAUUGGGCGUAAAGCGAGCGCAGGCGGUUUGAUAAGUCUGAAGUUAAAGGCUGUGGCUCAACCAUAGUUCGCUUUGGAAACUGUCAAACUUGAGUGCAGAAGGGGAGAGUGGAAUUCCAUGUGUAGCGGUGAAAUGCGUAGAUAUAUGGAGGAACACCGGUGGCGAAAGCGGCUCUCUGGUCUGUAACUGACGCUGAGGCUCGAAAGCGUGGGGAGCGAACAGGAUUAGAUACCCUGGUAGUCCACGCCGUAAACGAUGAGUGCUAGGUGUUGGAUCCUUUCCGGGAUUCAGUGCCGCAGCUAACGCAUUAAGCACUCCGCCUGGGGAGUACGACCGCAAGGUUGAAACUCAAAGGAAUUGACGGGGGCCCGCACAAGCGGUGGAGCAUGUGGUUUAAUUCGAAGCAACGCGAAGAACCUUACCAGGUCUUGACAUCCCGAUGCUAUUUCUAGAGAUAGAAAGUUACUUCGGUACAUCGGUGACAGGUGGUGCAUGGUUGUCGUCAGCUCGUGUCGUGAGAUGUUGGGUUAAGUCCCGCAACGAGCGCAACCCCUAUUGUUAGUUGCCAUCAUUCAGUUGGGCACUCUAGCGAGACUGCCGGUAAUAAACCGGAGGAAGGUGGGGAUGACGUCAAAUCAUCAUGCCCCUUAUGACCUGGGCUACACACGUGCUACAAUGGUUGGUACAACGAGUUGCGAGUCGGUGACGGCGAGCUAAUCUCUUAAAGCCAAUCUCAGUUCGGAUUGUAGGCUGCAACUCGCCUACAUGAAGUCGGAAUCGCUAGUAAUCGCGGAUCAGCACGCCGCGGUGAAUACGUUCCCGGGCCUUGUACACACCGCCCGUCACACCACGAGAGUUUGUAACACCCGAAGUCGGUGAGGUAACCUUUUGGAGCCAGCCGCCUAAGGUGGGACAGAUGAUUGGGGUGAAGUCG
rnacentral:rRNA from 1 species